AUGACCACAUCAGAAUCCGUACGAUCAACGAAGUUAAGCAACAUCGAUCCUAGUCAGUACCGAGAUAGGUGACAGCUUGGGAAUAUCAGGUGCUGUAUGC